rnacentral:rRNA from 1 species
ACGCUCGACACCUACGGGAGGCAGCAGUGAGGAAUAUUGGUCAAUGGGCGCUAGCCUGAACCAGCCAAGUAGCGUGAAGGAUGAAGGCUCUAUGGGUCGUAAACUUCUUUUAUAUAAGAAUAAAGUGCAGUAUGUAUACUGUUUUGUAUGUAUUAUAUGAAUAAGGAUCGGCUAACUCCGUGCCAGCAGCCGUGGUAAUCUGAGCGGGCUGGCAAGGC